rnacentral:lncRNA from 10 species
GAACUCGGCAAACCAGAUGUUGCGCCGGUUGUUGUCCAGCGUGCGGCUGGAGAAGUAGCGGUCGAAGCCUGGCAGGGAACCAGGACGUCAGGGCCUCACUGGCCUUCUUCCCCACCAGCCCCAGCCCUCCCCGCCUCCCCCAGGAUAAGAGAUGGUCCAGGCGGAGGGAGAGAGACCAGGAGGAGCACAUCCUCUGAUCCAGGAGAAAACAAAAUGUGGAGCAUUUCGUUUCUUUCAAAAUGAAAAGAGCUGUAUUAGGUCCCAGGGGGAUCGUGUGUAAUCUACAACUGCUGCCUUUAUGGAAGAGAAGCACACCGAUGAGGAUGUUUCCACGGCCUUUAACCGCUGCAAUGCUAACAGCGGGCUUUGAGAAGGAGCCGCCUGGGAGUCCUGAGAUUACAGCACAGAGGCUGGUGGGGCUGCCCAACCCGGGGAGCACCUGAAGAGGAGACCAGGCCAGACAAGGAGGGAGGGAACCACCCAGAUCACACAGCAAGACCAGGACCUGGACCUUCUUCCUUCACAUCCAGGACGUCCCCAUCACUGACAGAGGCUGCCUGCCUCCUCCACAUGCUCUGCGUGGCUCACACUUCUGCUCUCAGCCUUGGAAAGCCUGUCCUAGGGUGGGCAGGCUGGCGGUGAACAACACCCCCUCCUCCUCCCAGACGCCCCCCUGCCAUACUGACUGUUCUAGGCACUGUGGACUGAGCUGCUCUGUAUGGGCCAGAGGCCUGAAAGCUCAGCGGGGCCACGUGGAGCUUCCUGCCCAUGGAAGCGUCCAAGUGGAAGCAAAAUGACCGGCCACGUGGCAGGAGACGCACUGGCAUCGAGCAGGAGGUUUGGCCUGCAGUAGGAUUUCUCAGCCUCGGCACUGUGGACGCUCUGGGCGGGAUAAUUCCUGUGGGGGGCCAUCCUGUGCACCGUACGAUACUGAGCAGUACCCCGACCUCUACCCACUGGAGGCCAGCAGCAGCAUCCCCCAACUGUGACAACCAAAAAUGGCUCCAGAAAUUGCCAAAUAUCCCCUUGGGGGGCAAAAUCGCCCCCAGAUAAGGACCAUUGUUCUAAAAGUUUCUCUAAUGUUCCUGAGAGAAAAAGUACUUGUCAGGCAAGUCCUGGAUUCUGGUCCCAACUCUGCCACUCGCUGUACUGUGUGUGUCUCAAGCUCUCUGAGCCCUGUGUAUCCAUCUACUAAAUGCGGGGAAGAGUGCAUCACAGGGAUGCUGGGGAGGCUAAAGGAGAUGUCUGUAAGGGGCCUGGCACUGAUAAGAAACUGAGCCCAGAAAGACGAAAUGAUUUUCCCAAGACCGCACAGCCAAUCAGCAUCCGAGACAGGGCACAGGUCUGCCCGAAGGAGCCUGACCUCUUAAGCACCUGCCGCCGCUUCUGCAAUGCAAGCUGGAGGAGACAGGGUGUAUAGGUAGAGUACCUGGUCUGACAGCCCUAGCUCCAAGUCCUGCUCUGACACCUGGCUGUGUGACCCUAGGCAAGCCACAUCACUUCUCUAAGGCUCAGUUCUCCCAUCUGCAAAAUGGGAAAAAAACACCUAGCCCACGGGUGUUUCACCUAGCCACAUGGUUAUUACCAGGAUCUGUAAUAGUCACAGGGGGUGUCUGGCCCAGGCAGGGCUCAGUCAAGGGCCACAGGAUUGCCCAGAGCAUGUGUAGACAAGGGUGGGAGUGGGGAAUGCCAGUGCCAGGGCUUCCUUUAGGCCUGGUGCCAGUGGCCCAGUCAGUAUUGGGCCACUCCAUGUGCCACCUACAGGCUCCCCACCUGCAGGACAGAGCCAGGUUCCCAUCCCAGCUCCUCCAUGUUCUAGCUCUGUGGCCUUGGGAAAGUGACCCACCCCCUCUGGCCUCCAUUUCCCCAUCUAUAAAAUGGGCAUAGUCAUGCUCCUCUGAAGCACCCAGAGACCAGCACACAGUUGGCACCCAGGACUCACUCACCACACUUCCAACAUGCAUCCCAGCCUGGCCAGCAUGCCCUCCCCACCACUCCCCUCUCUGGUGCUCCUCUGAGCAACUCACAGAUGAUUUAUACUUCAGAGUACGAAUCAAUACAAUAUACGGCCAAAGACAUCUUUAAUCUUUCACAGGGAUUAGGCUACAAGGUACAGUGGCCUCUUUCUACUGGCUGCUCAAUUCUGAUUUCAAUUUGGCCAGCUGAAGUGCAGCUCUCUCUCUCUCUCUUCCUUUCUUUUCACCCACUAAAAGAUGUUCCUCCAAAUCAAAUUUCAUUUAUUGGGUUGCGCGACGAGACCUAGCUGCCUGAACUGCCCUGGCCAGGCCCCCGUAGGAUGUUGCACACUGGCAUGGGGUGGCCUUGGAAGUUUGGGGACGUGGGAGGCCCAGCCAAGCAGGAAGCCAGGCCCUCAGAUGGUGCAUGGGGUGUGGCAGGUAUUGUGAGGGGCGCCUCUGCCAGGACAGGAGUGCCCCGAGCUGGAGGCCCUUGCAUAAUGGCAAAUUUUAUUUUUCUAGAUCAUGAAGUCCUUUUAAAAAAUCUUGAGUAGACUUUAUUUUUUCUAACCGCCCAAUACUUGAUUAGAUGUUGAUAAAAAAAAAAUUAAACAAUAGGCUUACCUUCAGCCAAAACACAAUGCCCAGACCCCAC